GACAGCUUAGCAAAGUGGUUACUGCGAUUGAUUCGAACGGCAAAUGCAGGAUGCCAACCCAAUCAAUUCCUCUUUGAGGGCACAGGUUCGAAUCCUGUAGCUGUCG